UUUUUUUGUAGUCAUUCGCUUGUCUCAAAGAUUAAGCCAUGCAUGUCUAAGUAUAAGCACUUAUACCGUGAAACUGCGAAUGGCUCAUUAAAUCAGUUAUCGUUUAUUUGAUGAUACCUUACUACAUGGAUAACCGUGGUAAUUCUAGAGCUAAUACAUGCUAAAAACCCCGACUUCGGGAGGGGUGUAUUUAUUAGAUAAAAAACCAACGCCCUUCGGGGCUUCUUGGUGAUUCAUAAUAACUUCUCGGAUCGCAUGGCCUUGCGCCGGCGACGGUUCAUUCAAAUUUCUGCCCUAUCAACUUUCGAUGGUAAGGUAGUGGCUUACCAUGGUUUCAACGGGAAACGGGGGAAUAAAAA
rnacentral:rRNA from 1 species